rnacentral:rRNA from 1 species
GACGAACGCUGGCGGCGUGCCUAAUACAUGCAAGUCGAGCGGAUGGAAGGAAGCUUGCUUCCUAAAGUCAGCGGCGGACGGGUGAGUAACACGUGGGCAACCUGCCCCUAAGAUCGGGAUAACUUCGGGAAACCGGAGCUAAUACCGGAUAUGAUUAUGUCUCACAUGAGACAUAAUGGAAAGACGGUUUCGGCUGUCACUUAGGGAUGGGCCCGCGGCGCAUUAGCUAGUUGGUGAGGUAACGGCUCACCAAGGCGACGAUGCGUAGCCGACCGGAGAGGGUGCUCGGCCACACAGGGACAGAGACACGGCCCAGACUCCUACGGGAGACAGCAGUAGGGAAUCUUGCGCAAUGGACGGAAGUCUGACGGAGCCAAGCCGCGAGAGUGAAGAAGGUUCUCGGAUCGUAAACUCCUGUCGAGCGGGAAGAACGCUUUCAGGCCGAAUAAUCCGGGGAGGUGACGGUACCGCUAAAGGAAGCCCCGGCUAACUCCGUGCCAGCAGCCGCGGUAACAC